GAAGGGUCACAGGGUUCUGCUUUGACAGGGAUUUGGGAUCCCAAGAAUGGAGCUUUUUUUUCCACACUGUGCCUUGCUGGAAUCACCUCACGUCCCCGCAUGCGAUGAGCUCAUCCUUCUCUUGGCACCAACUGCCUCUCAUCUUGGCCCUGGCUGGGACGCACCAACAUUUCUGCAGGAGGAAUAAAGCAAUAACAGGAAUCUCAUUUUUCUCCUUAAAAUAAUAUCUCUCUGUUCUGCCAGCAAGCAGGGAGCUACUCCUGCCAGCACUCCAGUGGGAAGCCUGUUCCCAGUCCGAUAGAAUUAGUGUGAUACUGGCUUCCCAGGAGCCCCCAGCAGCCAAGGCAGCCCUCAGGUGACCCUGAGCUCCUGGCUACAGAUCCCCUGAUGUCCUUUUUGGCCCCUGGAUAGUCACUCACCUGCAUGUCUCCAUCCCAGGCUCUCCAGGGCAAAGGGAUGCUGUUCUCACCAGUCCCAGGCUCCCCUAGCUGGUGGCUCCUUCAGCAUCUCUCUAGGACCUAGCCAAUUUCCUACAAGGAAAGGAUCACUGGAAAAACCAUUUUGAACAGGAAGAAUUUAAUUUUUUUGCAAUAGGCUUUCCCCUCUUUAAAGAAAAGAAAGAAAAAAAGAGUCCUCAUUUACCUAAAGGUUUGAGUGCCUGGAAAUUUCUUCCCUGUGUGCACAUUACCCACUUCCUGGCUGCAGGGAUGGAAGGACUCGGAGAAUUCGAAGGAUAUUAAACAGAUUCAUAAUGGACUCAGCAGUAUAAACAUGUCUCAAGUGCAGACAGAAAUGCCACAAGCUCCUACUUAGUUUAAUGAAAACAUACACCAGUUGUGUCUGUGUUCCCAUUUUACAAAUAAACAAGGUGGGGAGAUGGACUCAGAAAUUGUCCCUGGGGAGCCAGGUGCCUCUGUUCAUUGCAAUUUCAAUGGCUUCUCCUGCCCGCAAACAACUCGGAAAAGAACGCUUAAUGUAGCCUUGCAGAUCAGUGCCAAAAGGCACAGCAAAUGGGAGACGCCCGGCCAAAUGGUCCGCAGCCAUUCCCGUUCUUUGUGGUGAUGCCCUGAGUGGCUGGGGGCUCAGGGGCCCCGAAGAGGGUGUUACCAAUAGAACGGCUCCGGGCAGCAGGAUGUACACAGGAUGGUGCAUUGGGAGGCCUGGGUUCAAAUCCAGCUUCUGUUCCCACUGCCAGAAGGCUAUGCCAUCCCAGGCACCUGACUCCACCCCUCUGCCUCCAGCCAAGUUUUCCUCAUCUGUGAAACAGGGUAACAACCCCAGACCUGUGUCGCCUCAUGAUUGCGAGGGCUCUCUGAGACAAGGUGGGCCAAUGUCCUGGGUUAAGAUGUAAAUGACUUGGGGAAUGGCCAUUUUUCCCAUUUUAAUUAAAAAUCAGUAUUUCCUAUUACUGGUUCUUUCAAAUCUAGAGCAGGAGGGACUGUGUCACUGUCAGAAAGCCUAAACAAGUCGAGGCAGGAUCAUUGACUCAAAGGCCAGCAUGACUAAUCUGGCCCCAUAACUAGUUAGUUCGGUGCUAGGAACAUCCACCAAACCAGAGAGCUGGCUGGGUUGACCCGUGGGUUUGGUCAAAACGGCUGCCUGGUUGUUCCAGCAGGGGCACGGCCCACAUCUGGACAGGGAAGGAAGAUAGAUGUGGACAUUGGAACCGGAGGCAAAUUCUUGAACCCUCCUGUGUCCUGGGUUCCUCAUCUGCCAAACAGGGACUAAUAGAAGGCCCUCAAAGGGAACUUGGAGUACGAAAUGGUGGAAUUGUGUGAAGCGCUCUGGAUGGUACUGGCCCCCAGCAAGUGGUCUGCAAGUGUUAGGUAGUGUUUGUGUCAGGGGAAUUCUAGGCAUUAACAGCAAGAUGUUUCUAAAGAAUAAAAGAAAUUCUCAGAUAAGGAAACCGAGGCGCCUAAGUGGGGC
rnacentral:lncRNA from 1 species